AUUGAACGCUGGCGGCAGGCCUAACACAUGCAAGUCGAGCGGAUGAAGGGAGCUUGCUCCUGGAUUCAGCGGCGGACGGGUGAGUAAUGCCUAGGAAUCUGCCUGGUAGUGGGGGAUAACGUCCGGAAACGGGCGCUAAUACCGCAUACGUCCUGAGGGAGAAAGUGGGGGAUCUUCGGACCUCACGCUAUCAGAUGAGCCUAGGUCGGAUUAGCUAGUUGGUGGGGUAAAGGCCUACCAAGGCGACGAUCCGUAACUGGUCUGAGAGGAUGAUCAGUCACACUGGAACUGAGACACGGUCCAGACUCCUACGGGAGGCAGCAGUGGGGAAUAUUGGACAAUGGGCGAAAGCCUGAUCCAGCCAUGCCGCGUGUGUGAAGAAGGUCUGCGGAUUGUAAAGCACUUUAAGUUGGGAGGAAGGGCAGUAAGUUAAUACCUUGCUGUUUUGACGUUACCAACAGAAUAAGCACCGGCGAACUUCGU
rnacentral:rRNA from 1 species